rnacentral:rRNA from 1 species
GACCGCGUCCAAGUCUCUUGGAAUAGAGUAUCAAAGAGGGUGACAAUCCCGUACUUGACGCGACAACCGGUGCUCUGUGAUACGUUCUCAAUGAGUCGAGUUGUUUGGGAAUGCAGCUCAAAAUGGGUGGUAAAUUCCAUCUAAAGCUAAAUAUUGGCGAGAGACCGAUAGCGAACAAGUACCGCGAGGGAAAGAUGAAAAGGACUUUGAAAAGAGAGUCAAAGAGUGCUUGAAAUUGUCGGGAGGGAAGCGGAUGGGGGUCGGCGAUGUGUCUCGGUCGGAUGUGGAACGGUCAUAGCCGGUCUGCCGAUCGACUCGAGACAUUGACCGAUGCGGAUUGUGAUGGUGGCCUAAGCCCAGGCUGUUGAAAUGCUUGUGGAGACGUCAUCGUUGUGAUUGUGGACGGCAGCACGCGCCUUAGGCGUGUCUCGGCACGUGCGUGCUCCGGGCAUCGGCCUGUGGGCUCCCCAUUCGGCCCGUCUUGUAACACGGACCAAGGAGUCUGACAUGUGUGCGAGUCAACGGGUGAGUAAACCCGUAAGGCGUAAGGAAGCUGAUUGGUGGGAUCCCCUUGUGGGUUGCACCGCCGACCGACCCUGAUCUUCUGUGAAGGGUUCGAGUGAGAGCAUACCUGUCGGGACCCGAAAGAUGGUGAACUAUGC